rnacentral:rRNA from 1 species
AUUGAACGCUGGCGGCAUGCCUUACACAUGCAAGUCGAACGGCAGCGGACCUUCGGUGCCGGCGAGUGGCGAACGGGUGAGUAAAGUAUCGGAACGUACCUUUCAGUGGGGGAGUAACUGUCCGAAAGGGACAGCUAAUACCGCAUAUUCUGUGAGCAAGGAAAGCAGGGGAUCGCAAGACCUUGCGCUGAUUGAGCGGCCGAUAUCGAGAUUACGCUAGUUGGUGAGGUAAAGGCUCGACCAAGGCGACGAUCUGUACGCGGGUCUGAGAGGAUGAUCCGCCACACUGGAACUGAGACACGGUCCAGACUCCUACGGGAGGCAGCAGUGGGGAAUUUUGGACAAUGGGCGCAAG